GUCUGCUUGGAGCUAUAAGAAGUCUAGCCUGCUCUCUGAUGAAUUUAAGGGCCGCGGUAAUUUGACCGUGCAAAGGUAGCAUAAUAGUUAGUUUUUUAAUUGGGAUCUUGUAUGAAUGGUUGGACAAAAGAAAUACUGUCUCUAAUAUUUUAUUUGAAUUUAACUUUUAAGUGAAAAGGCUUAAAUAAAUUAAAAAGACGAUAAGACCCUAUAAAGCUUUAUAAAAAUUUUUAUUUGAUUAAAUUAAAUAAUAAAAUUUUAAUAUCUGAUUUUAUUUUAUUGGGGAGAUAAAAUUAUAAUUUUAAAUAACUGAUUAAGUAGAAAACAAAAAUAUAUGUGUAUAAACUUUAAAUGAUCCUUAUUAAAGAUUAAAAGUUUAAGUUACUUUAGGGAUAACAGCGUUAUUUUUCUUGAGAGUUCAUAUCGAAAGAAAAGAUUGCGACCUCGAUGUUGAAUUAAAAUUUCUAAGUUAUUGCAGAAGUCACUUUAGAAGGUCUGUUCGACCUUUAAAUUUUUACAUGAUUUGAGUUCAGACCGGCGUAAGCCAGGUUGGUUUCUAUCUUUUAAUAAAAAACAAAUUAUCUUAGUACGAAAGGAUUUGAUAAUUAAAUUUAUUUUUAAUUUGGUAA
rnacentral:rRNA from 1 species